ensembl:lncRNA
GAUUUAACAGGGAGGUCGAUUUAACAGGGAGGUCGAUUUAACAGGGAGGUCGAUUUAACAGGGAGGUCGAUUUAACAGGGAGGGUGAUUUAACAGGGAGGGUUGAUUUAACAGAGAGGUCGAUUUAACAGGGAGGAUGAUUUAACAGGGAGGUCGAUUUAACAGGGAGGAUGAUUUAACAGGGAGGAUGAUUUAACAGGGAGGUCGAUUUAACAGGGAGGUCGAUUUAACAGGGAGGAUGAUUUAACAGGGAGGUCGAUUUAACAGGGAGGUCGAUUUAACAGGGAGGUUGAUUUUACAGGGAGGUCGAUUUUUACGUUUUAUAUAUUCACAAACGUCUCUGUAUGCAAGUCUUUAUGUGCACAAGAAAUGUAAAAACAAACCAAACAUACACCUCAGCACAAAAUAAAGACUAAUGAAACAG